rnacentral:rRNA from 1 species
UACGUAGGCAGCAACCGUUGUUCGGAAUUACUGGGCGUAAAGAGUGUGUAGGCGGUUUUGUUAGUUUGGUGUGAAAUCUCCCGGCUUAACUGGGAGGGUGCGCCGAAUACUGCAAAGCUUGAGUACUGGAGAGGAUAGCGGAAUUCCUGGUGUAGCGGUGAAAUGCGUAGAUAUCGUAAGGAAGACCAGUGGCGAAGGCGAGUCUCUGGACAGUUACUGACGCUGAGGCACGAAGGCCAGGGGAGCAAACGGG